UCCCAUCAGUGACGAGGGGAAGAAGAGGCUAAGCGGCGACGGCUCUGCCACUCAAAAGCGCACCUGGUUUACCUCAGCGGCUUUUGAUUGGCAGAGACGUCCUUGCUGAGAUAAACCAGGUGUGGCAUUUGAUUAGCAGAGCCGCCGCCGCUCAGCCUCUUCCUCCUGUUGCCGCCGCC